rnacentral:rRNA from 1 species
ACGAACCUGGCGGCAGGCUUAACACAUGCAAGUCGAGCGGGCGUAGCAAUACGUCAGCGGCAGACGGGUGAGUAACGCGUGGGAACGUACCUUUUGGUUCGGAACAACACAGGGAAACUUGUGCUAAUACCGGAUAAGCCCUUACGGGGAAAGAUUUAUCGCCGAAAGAUCGGCCCGCGUCUGAUUAGCUAGUUGGUGUGGUAACGGCGCACCAAGGCGACGAUCAGUAGCUGGUCUGAGAGGAUGAUCAGCCACAUUGGGACUGAGACACGGCCCAAACUCCUACGGGAGGCAGCAGUGGGGAAUAUUGGACAAUGGGCGCAAGCCUGAUCCAGCCAUGCCGCGUGAGUGAUGAAGGCCCUAGGGUUGUAAAGCUCUUUUGUGCGGGAAGAUAAUGACGGUACCGCAAGAAUAAGCCCCGGCUAACUUCGUGCCAGCAGCCGCGGUAAUACGAAGGGGGCUAGCGUUGCUCGGAAUCACUGGGCGUAAAGGGUGCGUAGGCGGGUCUUUAAGUCAGGGGUGAAAUCCUGGAGCUCAACUCCAGAACUGCCUUUGAUACUGAGGA